rnacentral:rRNA from 1 species
CCUACGGGAGGCAGCAGUCGAGAAUCAUUCACAAUGGGGGAAACCCUGAUGGUGCGACGCCGCGUGGGGGAAUGAAGGUCUUCGGAUUGUAAACCCCUGUCAUGUGGGAGCAAAUUAAAAAGAUAGUACCACAAGAGGAAGAGACGGCUAACUCUGUGCCAGCAGCCGCGGUAAUACAGAGGUCUCAAGCGUUGUUCGGAAUCACUGGGCGUAAAGCGUGCGUAGGCUGUUUCGUAAGUCGUGUGUGAAAGGCGCGGGCUCAACCCGCGGACGGCACAUGAUACUGCGAGACUAGAGUAAGGGAGGGGGAACCGGAAUUCUCGGUGUAGCAGUGAAAUGCGUAGAUAUCGAGAGGAACACUCGUGGCGAAGGCGGGUUCCUGGACAGUAACUGACGCUGAGGCACGAAGGCCAGGGGAGCGAAAGGGAUUAGAUACCCGUGUAGUC